rnacentral:rRNA from 1 species
UACGUAGGGGGCUAGCGUUGCCCGGAAUCAUUGGGCGUAAAGCGCGUGUAGGCGGUCCGGUAAGUCCGCUGUGAAAGUCGGGGGCUCAACCCUCGGAUGCCGGUGGAUACUGUCGGGCUUGAGUACGGAAGAGGCGAGUGGAAUUCCUGGUGUAGCGGUGAAAUGCGCAGAUAUCAGGAGGAACACCAAUUGCGAAGGCAGCUCGCUGGGACGUUACUGACGCUGAGACGCGAAAGCGUGGGGAGCAAACAGG